rnacentral:lncRNA from 1 species
CUCACGGGUGAGCAGCACUGUGGUACCUCCAGGCCUUGCAGCAGAGACCACUGAGCUUAGAAGAAGCUGAGUCUCCUUGUGUCUUAUCACAGCUGUAAAGAAUACCUCCCACAAACAAUGCAGGUGGCUUAAAACAAAGGACAUAGGCUCUUCUGCAGUUCCGGGGACUAUUGAAGUCUGAACGUGUCUCUUUUCAUCUUGACCCGAAAGAGCCUCAGCGGCACCAGGCAUACCCUUGGCAACUGGACAGGGUAACCCCGUAUACGGCUUCUAAAGGAAGAGUAAUGAGGACCAGGAGCGUUCCAAAGGAGAUGAGGUGGGGGGUUUUUGUUGUUGUUUGUUUGUUUG